rnacentral:rRNA from 1 species
AUGCCGUAAACGAUGAUCAUUAGUUGAUGGGAGACUCAUCGACGCAGCUAACGCAUUAAAUGAUCCGCCUGAGUAGUAUGCUCGCAAGAGUAAAACUUAAAGGAAUUGACGGGGACCCGCACAAGCGGUGGAGCAUGUGGUUUAAUUUGAAGAUACGCGUAGAACCUUACCCACUCUUGACAUCUUCUGCAAAGCUAUAGAGAUAUAGUAGAGGUUAACAGAAUGACAGAUGGUGCAUGGCUGUCGUCAG